rnacentral:rRNA from 1 species
AGAAACUAACAAGGAUUCCCCUAGUAACUGCGAGUGAAGCGGGAAAAGCUCAAAUUUAAAAUCCCUCGGGAAUUGUAAUCUAGAGAAGUGUUUUCGGUCGUUGCCUCGGACAAGUCCUUUGGAACAAGGCGUCAUAGAGGGUGAGAAUCCCGUCCUUGCCGAGCUACCAACGUCUAUGUGAUACACUCUCGAAGAGUCGAGUUGUUUGGGAAUGCAGCUCAAAACGGGUGGUAAACUCCAUCUAAAGCUAAAUAUUGGCGAGAGACCGAUAGCGAACAAGUACCGUGAGGGAAAGAUGAAAAGCACUUUGGACAGAGAGUUAAACAGUACGUGAAAUUGUUGAAAGGGAAACGCUUGAAGUCAGUCGCGUUGCAGGGACUCAGCCGCAAGGUGCAUUUCUCGGUAACGGGUCAACAUCAGUUUCGAGCGCGGGAAAAGGGCUUGGGGAAUGUGGCAGCCUCGGCUGUGUUAUAGCCCCCUGUCGUACACCGCGCCCGGGACUGAGGACCGCUAAUAGGAUGUUGACGUAAUGGCUUUAAGCGA